CCCUUUUUAUUCAUAAAUUGGCGACGAGCUUUGUUAUGUUCCCGCUUAAUACAUAACACGUAACGUCGAGGAUGGUGAAGACAUUUUAUGUCCUUAAGCUCGCUGAGUUGUGUGACCUAUGUGUGGAGUUGGAGCUCGUGGAAGGAGUAGAAGAACUGGAGGGGAAGAAAAAGUCGGAAGUAUCAGCCAUAGUUUGGGUGAACCUCAUUGCCUGUGGGAGUGAUCACGAGACACAUGAUUUUUCUACUAAAUACCUCUGCAAAAGAAAUGUUUAUUUUGCAACCGUAAGCAUGUAUUGUUGAAAAAUGAGUGCCUGUGUGCUGCAAAUUCUCAGUCAAGUCAACUUCAUCCAUUACUUUUCAUGUAGCUAACGGCAUUGGGGAUAGGGAUUAUGCCUAUUUCGUGGUUGAGGGUAAAAAAAAACAAAAUUCUCUACAAUGUCAACAUAUUUCGUAUUAAAUUGAUAAAAUUGGAUUACCUAGAAGAGAAUCCUGGCUCCAUAGGGGUGUUUGGAGGGGAUAAAGUCAAAACCUUAGGCGCAGCCCCUUGAAAGUCCCUCUUGAUGGAAAAAGUACUGAUCGUAGGUGAUUUGUGGUAAACAGGUGGAACAGCCUAUUCUUGGGUUUGGGGACUGUAUUAAUUUUGGUCUGGUGAAGCUGCAGAACAAUCCAAAUUGGUCUCACUCUCCAGAUUGACAAAAAUCAACUCUGAAAUCAUUGAUGAAAAACAAAUUUUCAAAAGUAUUCAACGAUAACGAAGCUGUGCAGAUGAAGACAAAUAGAGUCCAGGUUCACUUGAAAGAGGGUGCAAGUCCGCACUUUAUCAGGGCACGCCCUAUACCACUUGUACUGCAUGAAAAAGACAAUGAAUAGAUAUUAUUCUUAUGGGGUGAUAGGAUACUUGGCAAAAAAUUGUUGAAGGAAUCAGGGAAGCGUGAUGGGGUUUUGCCGGUGCAAGUAGCAUCCCAGGGAGACCGACAGGCGCAAUAACUCCAAAUACCUAAAUUAAUGGGGAUUGAUUCACACCAAAUGUUCCCAGAGCAAGCGCUUGGGAUGGAGAGCGCAUCUCAUCUAAUAGAAAGGAUUACUCUGUACCAAAUUAGGUUUGAGACUGCAGUGUUGUAUAAGGGAAAAGUUGGUUAAAGGAGUGGAGGUGAUUACUGGCAACGAUAUUCCGAGAAGGUAUAAGGUUAUUAUGGACAAGGGAAGAGUAUAAUUUGGAACAUGCGUGUCAGUGAAAAGUAAAGAGAGUUGAGAGAGUGUUUUUGGGGAAACUAUGUUGUCAAAUUCGAGGAUGGAGAGUGGACUGUGAAGUGUGAGUGGGCGAAGGAAUCCAGACUCCACAAUAUUUUUGGGCAGUAUGCAAUCCCUCAUAGGAUUAAGGGAAAAUUCGAAAAAAAGAUAAAUAAAUCGAUCUAGAAAGGUUGGUGAGAAGUGAGUACUAGGCCAGAUGGUAGUGUGAUUCACCUAAUGGACGUCGAACAAAAAAGGAAAGCAAAGGUGAAACCUGUUUUGGACUUCAUGGAGUUGAACGACUAUGGGGAAUGCAGUGGUGCAGACGUGGAUGUAUGUGGGGGAAAAACUACGGGAGUGGAGGCAGUUUGCAGAUAAUAGCGCUCUUACAUGAUACCUAUAUGCAAAUUAAGGUUAACAAGGAAUGCUCAAAAGUAAUGAAGAUGGAAAUAAGUGAGAAUGGUAUAAAUCUUCUCGUCUUGGAUUUGGAUUAAAUUGUGCUCCACAAAUUAUGAAGUCUGUUCCGGCAUAUAUCUUGUCAAGGAUAAGGAAGUGGUGGAAGCAACCGUUUACCACUUCAACGAUAUAUUUCGUCAUGUAAAUGACAUAAGAGGAAGAGAGAAUGAUAGAAUGGAUCAAAGCAAUGAAGUUAACCAGAAUCAACCGACUGUAAAACCUCAGGGAAAGAAGCCUAGAAGACUUGGGGGAUUUGUUUGUGAUGAGGAAACAUGGGAGAACUUGAUUAGAAUAUACUCGUUGUAUAUUAAUAUUUUAAAUCAGUGUAAAUAAACAACGUGAGGAAGUAACACGUGUCUAUUAUUUCAAUUCAUGGUUAAAGCAAGGAAGAGAAGACAUUCACAAAGUUGGAUUUUUCGAGGUUCUAUGAGCAAUACGCUCUCGAUGAAGAGUCUUAGUACAUAACAAAAAUAAUAACAUUUAUUCCAAGUCCAUAGAUAAAACAAAAUCCUUUGGAAACAAUUAAAAAAGGAAAUGAAAUCUGCUAAAAUGACCCCAAAUGUUACUUAUGUCUCAUACUUCAGGGAAGUGUAUCCCUGAAAAUUCAUUGAAGAUGUGACAAA
rnacentral:lncRNA from 1 species